AUGAUUAUGACUGACCAAAGCCACAAGGAAGAAAACUCUCUACUGGACCAACAGGAAGAGGCUGUUUCAUGCGAGGAACGGAGCUGUUGUGUUACACAGGAGAAAUCGGAAUCCGAGCAGACCCCAAACAUUGCUCAGGCCUUGGCAGCGACUCCAAUAUACACACAGACUAUAGGAGUCGCCCUCGAACUCUGUUGGUACUGCUUGAAAUCUCUCCCGACUGAAGACCAAAACAUACCUCAGGUACAGUGAGAAACUCAUGUUUGUCCUUAAUGUGCAACUAUAUCAAAUAUAGGGCUUGCUGUACUAGAUUAAUGAUCUGGUUUGCCUGCCUUUUUAGAACUAAUUAGACUCUGGGGU
rnacentral:lncRNA from 1 species